UUCACGGGUGCGGCUUUCCCCCAAUCCGUGAAUGAAGGUGCAUCUAGUCAUGGUGCAUCGCCAUCGCCAUCGUUGCAGGAGAUUCUAGCGUCUGCAGAACGUCGUCUCCGACCUCGUCUAGAUCCGGAUCGUUCCCCCGGUUCUAUUUGGUUUGAUCGUAAUAACGACGUGAUUUCAUCCGUCGUCAGCAUCUUACAGUCGGACUUCAAAGGUCCGUGGCGGAGUCUCACCCGUGUCCCUCCAUCUGAUCUGCAGCGUUGAUUUGAGGCUUUUGCGCAAGCUUAUUAUUGGGACGAGUCUGUUCAUGACCGAGUCUACGCCGCUUGGAGGCUCGCCGUCCGAGAUCGCCUCAAGGACAACAUUUAUCGGGUAAAGAGCAGACGCGUACGACCUGCAUGGAUGUCGACGGCGAUCUACGAUCAGCUAGUUGAAUAUUGGGAUUCACAAGAAGGAACGCAGAAGAGUCAAACAUUCUCAAGCAAUCGACGAUCCCGAGCGGAGGUCGAACGCGCACCCCCGACCCACACUGCAGGACGGAGAUCAUUUGCUCGA